UACGAAGGGUGCAAGCGUUACUCGGAAUUACUGGGCGUAAAGGGUGCGUAGGCGGCGCGGUAAGUCGGGUGUGAAAUCUCGGAGCUUAACUCCGAAACUGCAUUCGAUACUGCCGUGCUUGAGGACUGGAGAGGAGACUGGAAUUUACGGUGUAGCGGUGAAAUGCGUAGAUAUCGUAAGGAAGACCAGUGGCGAAGGCGGGUCUCUGGACAGUUCCUGACGCUGAGGCACGAAGGUCAGGGGAGCAAACGGG
rnacentral:rRNA from 1 species